UGUCUUCGUGCACUACAUCUCCGAUCUU
rnacentral:sRNA from 1 species